GAUGAACGCUGGCGGCGUGCUUAACACAUGCAAGUCGAACGAAGCAACUUAUUACGAUCCCUUCGGGGUGACGAUUUGUUGACUGAGUGGCGGACGGGUGAGUAACGCGUGGGUAACCUUCCUUGUACAGGGGGACAACAGUUGGAAACGACUGCUAAUACCGCAUAAGCGCACAGUUUCGCAUGAAGCAGUGUGAAAAGUUUUUUCGGUACAAGAUGGACCCGCGUCUGAUUAGCUAGUUGGUGAGGUAACGGCUCACCAAGGCGACGAUCAGUAGCCGACCUGAGAGGGUGACCGGCCACAUUGGGACUGAGACACGGCCCAAACUCCUACGGGAGGCAGCAGUGGGGAAUAUUGCACAAUGGGCGAAAGCCUGAUGCAGCGACGCCGCGUGAGCGAAGAAGUAUUUCGGUAUGUAAAGCUCUAUCUAGCAGGGAAGAUAAUGACGGUAC
rnacentral:rRNA from 1 species